rnacentral:rRNA from 1 species
GGCGGCGUGCUUAACACAUGCAAGUCGAACGAAGAGCGAUGGAAGCUUGCUUCUAUCAAUCUUAGUGGCGAACGGGUGAGUAACGCGUAAUCAACCUGCCCUUCAGAGGGGGACAACAGUUGGAAACGACUGCUAAUACCGCAUACGAUCUAACCUUGGCAUCGAGGAUGGAUGAAAGGUGGCCUCUAUUUAUAAGCUAUCACUGAAGGAGGGGAUUGCGUCUGAUUAGCUAGUUGGAGGGGUAACGGCCCACCAAGGCGAUGAUCGGUAGCCGGUCUGAGAGGAUGAACGGCCACAUUGGGACUGAGACACGGCCCAGACUCCUACGGGAGGCAGCAGUGGGGAAUCUUCCGCAAUGGACGAAAGUCUGACGGAGCAACGCCGCGUGAGUGAUGACGGCCUUCGGGUUGUAAAGCUCUGUUAAUCGGGACGAAAGGCCUUCUUGCGAAUAGUGAGAAGGAUGACG